rnacentral:lncRNA from 1 species
GGCACGUAUUUCAGGGUGAACUGAUUUUAUUAGUUUUGUUGAUUGUGAUGCUGAUAUUGCCAUAUGUUUUAUGCAGAGUGGUGAUGAUAUAAUUAUGGAAGUUGUGCCAUCAUCAAUUGAAAGUAAUAAUUCAGAAGAAUCUGAAGUAUCAGAUGACAAAUCUGUAGAUCUUCCUAGUCUUGCUGAAACACUUAGUACAUUGGAAGUAACACAAUGUUACAUAAGAUCAAAAAACAUUAAUGAUGACAAGAUGUGUACAGUAGUUGCGCAUGAAAGCAUGAUCUAUGAAUGUAGUAUCAC